GCCUGGGAUGGCUCAGUUGGUAGAGAGCAUGAAACUCUUAAUCUCAGGGUCAUGGGGCAAAAGAUUCCUGUAUUACAGGGGCUUGGGCU